UUACGGUCUCAGUGAGUGAGGCAGCACUAACUCGGACAUCCGCCAUCCGCCUUCCACGGUGCCUGGGACCGGAAACGCGGGGGGUGGCGGGGAGGCGAGGGGUGGGGCUGGGGGUAGUGGUAGAGGAGAGUCCUCCCCCCCUCAAAGGGUGAAGGAAGAGAGCCUGGCUCGCGAAAGCUGCCCCCUCUCCAGGGCAGACCUUGAAGGGAUGUUGCUAUAACGGGCGAAAUGGUAGGCAGGAAGUCUUGAGGGUAUCUCUGGGUGCCCCCUUGUUCCAAAUUUUCCAACCAUCCCUUUCACGUGAGAAGGAGCAAAUGCGGGAGGGGGGGGGUUCUCUAAUGGUCAUAAAAAGGAAUGCCACCCUGAUGUCUGAGGGCAGAGGGGAACCUGGGGCCAGUGGGAGGAUGUGGACACCAGGGGGUUAAUCUUCAGCCCUCCCCAGAGGCCUCCCCCUUAAGCUGGGGGCUUGGGGGCAGGAAGUCCCUGAGAGAGUGGAGAGAGAUAGUAUUGUCAAGCUCAGGCCCCAAGGGAGAGAUUAUGGGGGGUCGGGGGAGGGAGAACGAGGGUAUUGGGAUCCAGUCCGGCCCCCCCGGCCCGCACUGGCCCCGCCCUCAGGUGAGCCCAGGAGUUUUGAGUGAGGCCUAGAUAAAACAAAAUCCCUGGGUCCCCUGGGCCCCCCACCCCCAGGAUUAAAUUCCUGGGAAGAGAGCUGGAACUAUCUGGAAAGCCUGGGUCCCAGGGGGAGAGGGCUAUGACCUUGAAGCUUCCCAGCGCCCCCUCCUCCAACCCCACAGCUCUGACAGUGAGGGUGGCGAGAGAAGCGGGAGGCGCCGCGGUGGGGGAAGCAGCCGGCCCACAGGGCUCCCGGCCUGCCCCCCCACACCAGCUGUCUCGACAGGCUGUGAGUUCCUUGAGACGGGAGUAGACUUGAUCGAUUUCUGUGUUUCACUAACCCAGCCAGGCCUAGAACAGCAGCUCGACGCACAUUUACCCAACUGAAUGAGAACCCCAGUUUCUGUGUGACCUUGGGUUAAAUUGGGUGUCUGUCACUCACGACUCAAACAGUCCUGAUGAAUGCCUCCUUCGACUGCUGAGAGCUAUCAACAGCCCCGCUCCUCCAAGCGAGGACAACCAAACUCUGCUAUGCAAAGGCCUUUGGGUUUUGUCCCCAGCUUCCUGCCUCCCGUUUUCUCCCUGAGACCCACCCUAAGAGCCUUCAUUUCUACGGCCCCACCCACCACCUCGACAUUUCCAAAUUCUCCUAGACAUUCUAGGCCCAGUUCACAACCUCUCCCUAAGACCCAGGCCAUCCUCAGAGAUGACCUAGUCUCUGCAGUGCAUCCAGGCCUGGGGAUUGGUCAGCAACAUUCCUUAAAUUUUUCCGCCUUAUUCCUGGAUGGAGGGGGUGGUGCUUGGAAUGACAGGGCUUUACAGAACAUUUCUGAGGGAACAUUUCUUGGGGUGGAAGCACAGACUCCCCUGCUGCUGCUUCCCUGGUCAUCAUGCCUAGCACGAGGCCUCAGGCCAGGAGCGAGAAUUUAUUAAUACAUCAGGCAAGAUUCA